CAUAGGUCAAUCAGUUGGGCUCCAAACACGAUGGAAAGAAAUACUAGUAAAUUAUUCUGAUUUAUAAGCAAGGAUGAAUAAUGAUGGAAUGUCAUGACCACCUCGAGGAUGCCAAAGGGAAUGAAUUACUAAGCUAUCAAAGAAAAUAACUUGGCUAUGGACAGGGUAGAGGCUGUGCAAAUCUUCACCUCUGGUCUAUCACAAUGAACCAAGUGCUUCUCUCUGACUGUCUUGCCACAGCCAGAAAGGACUAUCAGUUCAUCCUGAAGAAGAUUAUGGAAGUACUUGGCAACAGCUUUGUCCUUCACUCAGUUACCAUUCAGAUAGAAUCAAAAGCAGAUCAGGAACUAGACUACAUCUUCUGUCAAGACCCCAAGGACUAGCUCAGCUGGUGUUGAGUGUCAUCUGCCUACCUAAGGCAAUCCAUCAGUAUGGAUUAUGCCAUCCAGUAGAGCAUAAAUAGCAAAGAAUUGGAGGAAGAAGUUAAAAAACUCCUGACACAGUACAAUGAA